AUUGAACGCUGGCGGCAUGCCUUACACAUGCAAGUCGAACGGCAGCACGGGAGCAAUCCUGGUGGCGCGUGGCGAACGGGUGAGUAAAGCAUCGGAACGUGCCCAGUCGUGGGGGAUAACGUAGCGAAAGCUACGCUAAUACCGCAUACGAUCUGUGGACGAAAGCGGGGGACCGUAAGGCCUCGCGCGAUUGGAGCGGCUGACGUCUGAUUAGCUAGUUGGUGGGGUAAAGGCUCACCAAGGCGACGAUCAGUGACGGGUCUGAGAGGGUGGUCCGCCACAUUGGGACUGGGCCAAGGCCCGGACUCCUACGGGAGGCAGCAGUGGGGAAUUUUGGACAAUGGGCGGAAGCCGGAUCCAGCCAUGCGGGGUGUCUGAAGAAGGCCUUCGGGUUGUAAAGGACUUUUGUCCGGGAGCAAAUGCCUGGUGUUAAUAGCAUCGGGAGCUGAGAGUACCGGAAGAAUAAGCACCGGCUAACUACGUGCCAGCCGCCGCCGUAAUAC
rnacentral:rRNA from 1 species